rnacentral:rRNA from 1 species
CAGUAGCCGCGGUAAUACGGAGGGUGCAAGCGUUAAUCGGAAUUACUGGGCGUAAAGCGCACGCAGGCGGUUCGUUAAGUCAGAUGUGAAAUCCCCGAGCUUAACUUGGGAACUGCAUUUGAAACUGGCAAGCUAGAGUCUUGUAGAGGGGGGUAGAAUUCCAGGUGUAGCGGUGAAAUGCGUAGAGAUCUGGAGGAAUACCGGUGGCGAAGGCGGCCCCCUGGACAAAGACUGACGCUCAGGUGCGAAAGCGUGGGGAGCAAACAGGAUUAGAUACCCCAGUAGUCCCUGUCUCUUAUAA